GGGCCUGUAGUUCAGCGGUUAGAACCCCCGGCUCAUAACCGGUAAGUCCUCGGUUCGAAUCCGAGCGGGCCCACCA
rnacentral:tRNA from 1 species